rnacentral:rRNA from 1 species
GACGAACGCUGGCGGCGUGCUUAACACAUGCAAGUCGAACGAUGAAGCCCAGCUUGCUGGGUGGAUUAGUGGCGAACGGGUGAGUAACACGUGAGCAACGUGCCCGAAACUCUGGAAUAACUACCGGAAACGGUGGCUAAUACUGGAGAUGUGCCAGGGAGGCAUCUGCUCUGGGUGGAAAGAUUUUUCGGUUUCGGAUCGGCUCACGGCCUAUCAGCUUGUUGGUGGGGUAAUGGCCUACCAAGGCGACGACGGGUAGCCGGCCUGAGAGGGUGACCGGCCACACUGGGACUGAGACACGGCCCAGACUCCUACGGGAGGCAGCAGUGGGGAAUAUUGCACAAUGGGCGCAAGCCUGAUGCAGCAACGCCGCGUGAGGGAUGACGGCCUUCGGGUUGUAAACCUCUUUUAGUAGGGAAGAAGCGCAAGUGACGGUACCUGCAGAAAAAGCACCGGCUAACUACGUG